rnacentral:rRNA from 1 species
CCUACGGGAGGCAGCAGUGGGGAAUUUUGGACAAUGGGCGAAAGCCUGAUCCAGCAAUGCCGCGUGCAGGAUGAAGGCCCUCGGGUUGUAAACUGCUUCUGUACGGAACGAAAAGCCUGGGGCUAAUAUCCCCGGGUCAUGACGGUACCGUAAGAAUAAGCACCGGCUAACUACGUGCCAGCAGCCGCGGUAAUACGUAGGGUGCAAGCGUUAAUCGGAAUUACUGGGCGUAAAGCGUGCGCAGGCGGUUUUGUAAGACAGUGGUGAAAUCCCCGGGCUCAACCUGGGAACUGCCAUUGUGACUGCAAGGCUAGAGUGCGGCAGAGGGGGAUGGAAUUCCGCGUGUAGCAGUGAAAUGCGUAGAUAUGCGGAGGAACACCGAUGGCGAAGGCAAUCCCCUGGGCCUGCACUGACGCUCAUGCACGAAAGCGUGGGGAGCAAACAGGAUUAGAUACCCUGGUAGUCCACGCCCUAAACGAUGUCAACUGGUUGUUGGGUCUUAACUGGCUCAGUAACGAAGCUAACGCGUGAAGUUGACCGCCUGGGGAGUACGGCCGCAAGGUUGAAACUCAAAUGAAUUGACGGGG